AUUGAACGCUGGCGGCAUGCCUUACACAUGCAAGUCGAACGGUAACAGGUCUUCGGAUGCUGACGAGUGGCGAACGGGUGAGUAAUACAUCGGAACGUGCCUAGUAGUGGGGGAUAACUACUCGAAAGAGUGGCUAAUACCGCAUGAGAUCUACGGAUGAAAGCAGGGGAUCGCAAGACCUUGUGCUACUAGAGCGGCCGAUGGCAGAUUAGGUAGUUGGUGGGAUAAAAGCUUACCAAGCCGACGAUCUGUAGCUGGUCUGAGAGGACGAUCAGCCACACUGGGACUGGGACACGGCCCAGACUCCUACGGGAGGCAGCAGUGGGGAAUUUUGGACAAUGGGCGCAAGCCUGAUCCAGCAAUACCGCGUGCAGUAUGAAGGCCUUCGGGUUGUAAACUGCUUGUGUACGGAACGAAAAGCCCUGGGUUAAUACCCUGGGGUCAUGACGGUACCGUAAGAAUAAGCACCGGCUAACUACGUGCCAGCCGCCGCCGUAACAC
rnacentral:rRNA from 1 species